rnacentral:rRNA from 1 species
UACGUAGGGACCGAGCGUUGUCCGGAAUCAUUGGGCGUAAAGAGCGUGUAGGCGGCCAGAUAGGUCCGUUGUGAAAACUCGAGGCUCAACCUCGAGACGCCGAUGGAAACCAUUUGGCUAGAGUCCGGAAGAGGAGAGUGGAAUUCCUGGUGUAGCGGUGAAAUGCGCAGAUAUCAGGAGGAACACCGAUGGCGAAGGCAGCUCGCUGGGACGGUACUGACGCUGAGGCGCGAAAGCGUGGGGAGCGAACAGG